rnacentral:rRNA from 1 species
UACGGGGGGGGCAAGCGUUGUUCGGAAUUACUGGGCGUAAAGGGCUCGUAGGCGGCCAACUAAGUCAGACGUGAAAUCCCUCGGCUUAACCGGGGAACUGCGUCUGAUACUGGAUGGCUAGAGGUUGGGAGAGGGAUGCGGAAUUCCAGGUGUAGCGGUGAAAUGCGUAGAUAUCUGGAGGAACACCUAUGGCGAAGGCAGCUCGCUGGGACGUUACUGACGCUGAGACGCGAAAGCGUGGGGAGCAAACAGG